AAAAAUUUAGUUAAACCUAUAACAUUAGCCUGUCAAGCUAAAAUUAUUAUUAUUCAUAAUAAUUUUUA
rnacentral:tRNA from 1 species